GGAAGUUAAUCAGGUUUUAGAACUACAUUAUUUUCUGCCUCUGUGUUCUUUGUUCUUUUGCUAUAUACAUUUCUGUUUACAAGGAUGUUGCUGACCCAGUCCUCUUAGAGAAGCACUUUUGUUUGGAGUUGGGGUCUUUCUAGCACAGGCUGUAAGGAGAAAACUGGACUCCAUUUGUCAGCUUCUCCUUUGCUCCUGCGUGGUGAUGUCUGUUUGGUUUAGACAAUAAUGAGCUGAUCUAUGUUGUCUUAAUUUCUAGGAAAGUCUGAAACAGUAGUCACAGAACAUGACGUGGAAUGAAUUCAGAAAUUGAACAUGAUUGUCAGCACAUGAAAGGUGCCUCAGGGAGAGUGCAGUGUGGUCGGAAACAAGGACAGAGGCAUGGAGCACACCACUGGCAGCAUGGUGUCCCAAAGUCAGGUGUUGAUCAUGGAGCUGCCAAACAGAAGAGACAUGAUGACUGACAAGUGGUGACUGUGAGAUGCACAGGGAACAGAUGGAGCAGCUGGUGCGGUGCAUGAAAGGUCAAGUGCUGGGACUGAAGGUGUCCUGUUGCAGACAGGCCAGUGUCUCAGUGUGACCAUGAGAUUCAGCAGUCAGCCUUGCCCAGGUGUCCUCUCCAGUCUCCAGUGGACCUGGAAGUUGGAGGCAGAAGUGGGGGUGCCAGGAUCCACAUGUGUUACUGUGUGGUCCUGAGUGGAUUUGCCAUAACAAGUACAUUACUUAUGUCUGGUUUAUCAUACGAUGCUGGUCUUUAUAACUAAUCAUUAACCUUCUACACUAUUUUCCAUAAGCUUUACCCAUGGAUGAAAGAUUUUUUAACUUUUCCUCACAUGAUAGAUCUAGACUUUGAAAUAUUGAACUAAGGGGAAAAAACCUGGAAAGUAUGUUGAGAAGUACGCACAAUUGCUGCCCUGCCUAACUCUUCAGGUGACAAGUAGCUUUCUAAAGCUUGGAACUGUCAAAGGACUUCUGAGUAUGCUUCCAGCCACAAGUCAGUGCUGACAUCUUAACCAGUGUGUGGAGGAGGAGAGCAUUGGUUUCCACACUGAGGCAGCUCUGUGGUGGUUGUUCCUCUCAGGUACCCUCUACUGGUAAACUUGAACUAUACUGACAGACCAUAGCACAGCUAUGUCCCCAUUGUGCUGGAGUUUGUAUGAAUAGUUAGGAUGUUAAUACUACAUUUUUUUGCCUUCUUUCUCAUAGCUAAUGUCUAUGGAACUAGCUGUAUUACUUGUUUUUUGUUUUGUUUUUUAUUGUUAUAGCUCUGUUAAAUGGCCCCCCAAAUUUCCAGAUAGUAUCCCUAACUGCAACAGAAGAAUUUUAUGGAUCCUUAACUCACAAUAAGUUUGACUUUCAACAAUUUGUUCAGUGUGAAUAUUUUUAUGUCUUUUUCAUGCUUCCACUUACUUGAAACUCAGUUUAUUCUUAAAAACUGUCUAGUAGAACCAGC
rnacentral:lncRNA from 1 species